AGAGUUUGAUCCUGGCUCAGGAUGAACGCUGGCGGCGUGCCUAAUACAUGCAAGUCGAGCGAACGGACGAGAAGCUUGCUUCUCUGAUGUUAGCGGCGGACGGGUGAGUAACACGUGGAUAACCUACCUAUAAGACUGGGAUAACUUCGGGAAACCGGAGCUAAUACCGGAUAAUAUUUUGAACCGCAUGGUUCAAAAGUGAAAGACGGUCUUGCUGUCACUUAUAGAUGGAUCCGCGCUGCAUUAGCUAGUUGGUAAGGUAACGGCUUACCAAGGCAACGAUGCAUAGCCGACCUGAGAGGGUGAUCGGCCACACUGGAACUGAGACACGGUCCAGACUCCUACGGGAGGCAGCAGUAGGGAAUCUUCCGCAAUGGGCGAAAGCCUGACGGAGCAACGCCGCGUGAGUGAUGAAGGUCUUCGGAUCGUAAAACUCUGUUAUUAGGGAAGAACAUAUGUGUAAGUAACUGUGCACAUCUUGACGGUACCUAAUCAGAAAGCCACGGCUAACUACGUGCCAGCAGCCGCGGUAAUACGUAGGUGGCAAGCGUUAUCCGGAAUUAUUGGGCGUAAAGCGCGCGUAGGCGGUUUUUUAAGUCUGAUGUGAAAGCCCACGGCUCAACCGUGGAGGGUCAUUGGAAACUGGAAAACUUGAGUGCAGAAGAGGAAAGUGGAAUUCCAUGUGUAGCGGUGAAAUGCGCAGAGAUAUGGAGGAACACCAGUGGCGAAGGCGACUUUCUGGUCUGUAACUGACGCUGAUGUGCGAAAGCGUGGGGAUCAAACAGGAUUAGAUACCCUGGUAGUCCACGCCGUAAACGAUGAGUGCUAAGUGUUAGGGGGUUUCAGCCCCUUAGUGCUGCAGCUAACGCAUUAAGCACUCCGCCUGG
rnacentral:rRNA from 1 species